rfam:Triticum urartu cultivar G1812 contig1076229, whole genome shotgun sequence.
CAACUACUCCCUCCGUUCGGAAUUACUUGUCACAGAAAUGGAUGUAUCUAGACGUAUUUUAGUUCUAGAUACAUCCAUUUCUGAGACUAGUAAUUCUGAACGAAGGGAGUAGCUA